AUGAACGCUAGCUACAGGCUUAACACAUGCAAGUCGAGGGGCAGCAUGGUCUUAGCUUGCUAAGGCCGAUGGCGACCGGCGCACGGGUGAGUAACACGUAUCCAACCUGCCGUCUACUCUUGGACAGCCUUCUGAAAGGAAGAUUAAUACAAGAUGGCAUCAUGAGUCCGCAUGUUCACAUGAUUAAAGGUAUUCCGGUAGACGAUGGGGAUGCGUUCCAUUAGAUAGUAGGCGGGGUAACGGCCCACCUAGUCUUCGAUGGAUAGGGGUUCUGAGAGGAAGGUCCCCCACAUUGGAACUGAGACACGGUCCAAACUCCUACGGGAGGCAGCAGUGAGGAAUAUUGGUCAAUGGGCGCAGGCCUGAACCAGCCAAGUAGCGUGAAGGAUGACUGCCCUAUGGGUUGUAAACUUCUUUUAUAAAGGAAUAAAGUCGGGUAUGUAUACCCGUUUGCAUGUACCUUAUGAAUAAGGAUCGGCUAACUCCGUG
rnacentral:rRNA from 1 species